GACGAACGCUGGCGGCGUGCUUAACACAUGCAAGUCGAACGAUGAAACCUAGCUUGCUAGGUCGAUUAGUGGCGAACGGGUGAGUAACACGUGACUAACCUGCCCCUUUCUCUGGGAUAACGCUCCGAAAGGAGUGCUAAUACCGGAUACUCACAUCGAGGCACAUGCCUUGAUGUGGAAAGUUUUUCGGAAAGGGAUGGAGUCGCGGCCUAUCAGCUUGUUGGUGAGGUAACGGCUCACCAAGGCGACGACGGGUAGCCGGCCUGAGAGGGGGACCGGCCACACAGGGACUGAGGGACGGCCCAGAAGCCUACGGGAGGCAGCAGUGGGGAAUAUUGCACAAUGGGGGCAAGCCUGAUGCAGCGACGACGCGUGAGGGAUGAAGGUCUUCGGAUUGUAAACCUCUUUCAGUAGGGACGAAGCGAAAGUGACGGUACCUAAAGAAGAAGCACCGGCUAACUACGUGCCAGCCGCCGCCGUAA
rnacentral:rRNA from 1 species